UACAGAGGUCCCAAGCGUUGUUCGGAUUCACUGGGCGUAAAGGGUGCGUAGGUGGCGGGGUAAGUUUGAUGUGAAAUCUCCGGGCUUAACCCGGAAACUGCAUUGAAUACUAUCUCGCUAGAGGUUUGGAGGGGGGACUGGAAUUCUCGGUGUAGCAGUGAAAUGCGUAGAUAUCGAGAGGAACACCAGUGGCGAAGGCGAGUCCCUGGACAACACCUGACACUGAGGCACGAAAGCUAGGGGAGCAAACAGG
rnacentral:rRNA from 1 species